AGUGAACGCUGGCGGUAGGCCUAACACAUGCAAGUCGAACGGCAGCACAGUAAGAGCUUGCUCUUACGGGUGGCGAGUGGCGGACGGGUGAGGAAUACAUCGGAAUCUACUUUUUCGUGGGGGAUAACGUAGGGAAACUUACGCUAAUACCGCAUACGACCUACGGGUGAAAGCAGGGGAUCUUUGGACCUUGCGCGAUUGAAUGAGCCGAUGUCGGAUUAGCUAGUUGGCGGGGUAAAGGCCCACCAAGGCGACGAUCCGUAGCUGGUCUGAGAGGAUGAUCAGCCACACUGGAACUGCGACACGGUCCAGACUACUACGGGAGGCAGCAGUGGGGAAUAUUAGACAGUGGGCGCAAGCCUGAUCCAGCCAUACCGAGUGGGUGAAGAAGGCCUUCGGUUUGUGAAGACGUUUUGUUGGGAAAGAAAAGCAGCAGGUUAAUACGCCGCUGUUCUGACGGUACCCAAAGAAGAAGCACCGGCUAACUUCGUG
rnacentral:rRNA from 1 species